rnacentral:rRNA from 1 species
GAUGAACGCUGGCGGCAUGCCUAACACAUGCAAGUCGAUCGGUAAGGCUCUUCGGAGUACACGAGAGGCGGACGGCUGAGUAACGCGUAGGAACACACCCUGCAGUGAGGGAUAAGACACCGAAAGGUGUUCUAAUACCGCAUACGGUCUUCGGAUUAAAGCAUUUAUGCGCUGAAGGAGUGGCCUGCGUCAUAUUAGAUAGUUGGUGAGGUAAUGGCUCACCAAGUCGAUGAUGUGUAGCUGGUCUGAGAGGAUGAUCAGCCAGACUGGAACUGAGACACGAUCCAGAAUCCUACGGGAGGCAGCCGUGAGGAAUAUUCCACAAUGCGCGAAAGCUUGAGGGAGCAAUCCCGCGUGCAGGAUGAAGGCCCUCGGGUUGUCAACUGCUUUUCUAAGGGAAGAUUAUGCCGGUAACUUAUGAAUAAUGGACCGCUACCCACGUG